AUGUCAUUACCAUGCAGCUUCAAUACGAAUCACCUCACACCCAUCAGCACGCAGAAUCACACACAGGCAGAAAUACAACCACACACCCGGCCAGUGAGGGACUCCCAGGCCGCCCAACAUCUCGCGUCGUCUCGCACACAUUUACACACACCAAAGGGCCUGGCAAAGCACAGAGGGGGGUCUCCUGCCAGCCCGAAGCUCCGGAUGGUCGCCGCCCUAGCUCCAGCCCCUCCCCUGCACCUGCCGGCGAGUGCCACCUUCUCGAGAUGCCUUAGGACCCAGGCACCACCCGCUGCUCCCCGUCUCAGGCCCCAGCCGCUCCAGCGGAGCGCACCCGACGCCUGCGCACUGAGCUCAGGCGAGCACUCCCAGAAACCUCCGGGGCGCGGCCGCUGGGGCGAGCCGGGUCUGGCGCCCGGUCCACGAACCCCGCCGAGGGUUAGCAGCCUGCGUCUCCCAGCGUCCUGGGCAGCCGGCCACGGCCUCCGCGGCGUUGGACUACAUUUCCCAGGGUCCACCGCAUGCCGAGCGCCGCUUCAUUUCCGUUUGUUCGCGCGAUGUGGGGGCCUCGCGAGGGGAGAGGGCUGCGUCUGUGAAAGAGCUUGGCUCGGCUGUUGCGGGGCGGGCGAACCGAAAGCGGGCUUGGAGCCCGGGCGCCGGAUCCUGGACCCUGCAGCGCACCUUCGGUCGAGAGCCCAGAGGAGGAAAGAAUGGCUGUUACACAUUCAAAAGCAAAGCCCAAGCUCUGCCUUUUCCAGACCCUGUGCUUCUCUAAGAUAGGAAUCCAGAGGAGGGCUGAUCAUUUCUUGCAGCUCUAAAAACCAUGGCUCAG
rnacentral:lncRNA from 1 species